GUGCUUGCUUUGGCAGCACAUAUACUAAAAUUGGAACAAUACAGAGACAAUUAGAAUGGUCCCAGCACAAGGAUGACAAGGUUUAGUAAGGAAAAGAAAUAGCAAGCC
ensembl:snRNA U6 U6 spliceosomal RNA